rnacentral:rRNA from 1 species
UACGUAGGGUGCAAGCGUUGUCCGGAAUCAUUGGGCGUAAAGAGCGUGUAGGCGGCCAAACAGGUCCGUUGUGAAAACUGGAGGCUCAACUUCCAGACGUCGACGGAAACCGUAUGGCUAGAGUCCGGGAGAGGAGAGUGGAAUUCCUGGUGUAGCGGUGAAAUGCGCAGAUAUCAGGAAGAACACCCGUGGCGAAGGCGGCUCUCUGGGACGGUACUGACGCUGAGACGCGAAAGCGUGGGGAGCGAACAGG